UACGUAGGGUGCAAGCGUUGUCCGGAAUUAUUGGGCGUAAAGAGCUCGUAGGCGGUUUGUUGCGUCGGCUGUGAAAUCCCGAGGCUCAACCUCGGGUCUGCAGUCGAUACGAGCAAACUAGAGUGUUGCAGGGGGAGACUGGAAUUCCUGGUGUAGCGGUGAAAUGCGCAGAUAUCAGGAGGAACACCGGUGGCGAAGGCGGGGUCUCUGGGCCGUAACUGACGCUGAGGAGCGAAAGCAUGGGGAGCGAACAGG
rnacentral:rRNA from 1 species